rnacentral:rRNA from 1 species
UACGUAGGGGGCAAGCGUUGUCCAGAUUUAUUGGGCGUAAAGAGCGUGUAGGCGGCCAAGCAGGUCCGCUGUGAAAACUCGAGGCUCAACCUCGAGACGUCGGUGGAAACCGUUUGGCUAGAGUCCGGAAGAGGAGAGUGGAAUUCCCGGUGUAGCGGUGAAAUGCGCAGAUAUCGGGAGGAACACCGAUGGCGAAGGCAGUGGGCUGGGCCGGCACUGACGCUGAGGAGCGAAAGCGUGGGGAGCGAACAGG